rnacentral:rRNA from 1 species
GAACUGCACAAACGUUAUUCGGAAUCACUGGGCUUAAAGAGUCCGUAGGCGGCCUGGAAGGUGAGGUGUGAAAUCCCACAGCCCAACUGUGGAACUGCGCUUCAAACCGUCAGGCUUGAGGGAGACAGGGGUGAGCGGAACAGAUGGUGGAGCGGUGAAAUGCGUUGAUAUCAUCUGGAACACCGGUGGCGAAGGCGGCUCACUGGAUCUCUUCUGACGCUGAGGGACGAAAGCUAGGGGGGAGCGAACGGGAUUAGAUACCCCGGUAGUCCUAGCUGUAAACGAUGAGCACUAGAUCGAGGGGACUCCCACAUCCUCUCGGUCGUAGCAAAAGCGUUAAGUGCUCCGCCUGGGAGUAUGGUCGCAAGGCUG